rnacentral:rRNA from 1 species
ACUCAAAUGAAUAGACGGGGACCCGCACAACCGGUGGAGCGUGUGGUUCAAUUCGAGACAAAACGAAAAACCUCACCAGGGCUUGACAUGCAAUCGUACAUUCUCUAAGAAACUAGAGGAAAUCCGCAAGGAUGAUUGCACAGGUGCUGCAUGGCUGUCGUCAGCUCGUGCCGUGAGGUGUUCCCUUAAGUGGGGAAACGAGCGCAACCCCCAUCCAAUGUUAAAUAUUCAUUGGAGACUGUCCCGGCAUUUGUCGGGGAGGAAGGAGGGGAAGACGUCAAGUCAGCACGGCCCUUAUGCCCUGGGCUACACACACACUACAAUGGCGAAGAACAACGGGUUGCAAGCUAGUAAUAGUAAGCCAAUCCCUAAAAUUUCGCCUCAGUUCAGAUUGGGGGCUGAAAUUCGCCCCCAUGAAGUCGGAAUCGGUAGUAAUCGCGGAUCAGCAUGCCGCGGUGAAUACGUUCUCGGGUCUUGUACACACCGCCCGU